rnacentral:lncRNA from 1 species
GAAAAACUGUUCUGUGUUCCAGUUGAAGUCCUAAGCAUGUGAAUGCAAAAACACUUGGUUGUCUUAUUUAUUAUUAUUAUUAUUUUAAUCUAUACAAAAUAUAAUGGAACUGUUCAUCAUUAUUAUAACUUUUAGGUCUGGUUUCACAGACAGGGCUUGGAUUAAGCCAGGAUUAGACCGUAGUUAAAAAUAGAACAUUGAAGUAGCUUUUAUAAGCAUGCCUUAGAAAAAAAAAAAAAAAAAAAAAACAAAAACUAUUACUCAUUUAAGAAUUUUUAUAAACAUAGCCUUAAGCUAAAAAAAAAAAAAAAAAAAAACAAAAUUAACUGCUGUGUAUCUUGAGACAAAACAAGAGCACUGACAUAUUUUAAGAUCAAUCAAUGCAAGAUUCUUUCAGUUGAAACACCUCAGACUUACAUUUUAGUCUGGGGCUUGACUUAGGCCUUGUCUGUGAAACCAGGGGUACAUGUUCUAAAAUAAGCUUAAAAUAUUAAACAUUUCUGAUAUCCUCCCAUUGAAGCUUAAAAAAUCAGAGCCUGUGCCCAUCAUUACAUGUUUUUCUGUGAAACCUGUCAACUCUGCAUGGCCAAAAUCUGCAGACUGGCUCUGACUUUCUGCUGUAAAGCAGCUGUGGCAAGACAAUAGUGUUAUUAUUCAGCUCCAGUCAGUCAAAGUCUUUGAAAAGUACUCCUGAAACCUGAUUAAGUACUCCCAAUAACUGGCUCUUAUUGAAUUUUCUGUGUUUCAGUGCCAAACACAUCUUUUUUCCUCACUUUCUGUAGGUUCUUUGAGGUUUCUCCCUGUCAGAUCUGGACGGGUUUGUGGAGGAACAGGAGAAGCAGGUGAACAGGGGUGUCAAGAGUCAUUAUUGGGAGGAGGACACAGGAGAGAGCAGAGACCUGUAGAAAAGAGAGGAAGAGGAGCAGGACCAGUGGAGAACCAUCAGACCUUCUCUUUGGCACUUUUAUUGAAAGGUGAGGUACAGUCAUUAGACGACUCUUACUUUAAUUCUUAGUAAUUCUGGGGAUUUUAAUGGUCAUUUUUGUUGUGUAUCCUUUGUAAUCUACCCUGUGUGUAUGUAACAAUGAUCAAAUGACUAAUUACAGUGGGGAAAAUAUUUAUUUGAUCCCCUGCUGAUUUUGUAAGUUUGCCCAGGGUCUGUAAUUUUUAUGGUAGGUUUAUUUUAAUGUAUAGAGACAGAAUACCAACCUAAAAAUCCAGAAAAAAACCCACAUUAUAUAAAGGUUAGAAAUUGAUUUGUAUUUCAGUGAGUGAAAUAAGUAUUUAAUCCACAAGCAAAACAUGACUUAGUACUUGAUGCAGAAAUCCUUGUUGGCAAGCACAGAGGUAAUACUUUUCUUGUAGUUGGUCACCAGGUUUGCACACAUCUCAGCAGGGAUUUUGAUCCACUCCUCUUUACAGAUUCUCUCAAGUUUGGCAACUGAAAAUUUUAGCUCCCUCCACAGAUUUUCUGUAGGAUUGAGUUCUGGAGACUGGCUAGGCCACUCCAUGACCUUAAUGUGCUUCUUCUUGAGCCUC